AUUGGAGAAAUAGCUCCUCAGCUUUGAAAGAUCAAAGAGUUGGAAUCUUACCUUUUGAACUGAAUUUUUAUUCAUAACAACUGGAAUAUCACUAAGUUGGAUACUUUUUAUUCUUUCUAUUCCCUGCCCUAUCCCUCUCACUUUUAAAUGUCAGAGCCUGAAAAGUAUCCUUUUAAAAUUGUAUUAAAGUUUUUAAUUAAAAAAUAAAUAAAUUUCAAAGCCUAUACACAGGAAAUCCAUGGAAGAACAAUCCAUGACUUUAUCAACUCUUUCUGCUGUGCAAAAUAAUGGAAUUAGUUAAAUCCCCCAUAGCUUAAAAGAAGUAGAUAACCAAUUAUCCCAAGUCACUUAUUUCACCAUUCAACUUGAAAUUAACCUGCUGCUGUUUGCUGAACUUUCCCUCAUCUUUCCUCCAUAUUUAUAAUUGCAUCUCAAUCUUAUGUUACACAUUAAUUUCAAAGCAUUGUGUGGGUUUUUUUUUUCAUUCUUCCUGUUAAUUGUUUUCCACUAUACAUUCUAGACCAAAAUUCUUGUCCAGAAUGCCAUUCGUGAUAUAAUUAUUCACAACUUUAGGCAGAGUUCACUUUGGCAGUAGAGGCAGGUGAGAUUCGAGAAGCUGAGCCUUCUUGGUAAUCCCAAACCAAGUAAUAAUUCUCCUAUUUCCAUUGUGAGUUUGUACCCUUCGCACAUCUUGCCUCCUUUCUGUCACCCACUCAGGAUGAGUCCAUUCAUUCAUUCAAACAGCUAUUAGCAAUGUCCUGAUCUGGACAAGCACUGCCUAGUGCUUGAGGCAGGGUACGUUGAUGAAUAUGACUGACCCAGUCCCUGCCAAAGAUGGAGCACCCAUUCUAGAAUGGGUAAUCUUUUGCUCUUUCUCAAGAAAGGAGGGGCUCAGCAUGAGUCAGUGUAGGCAGUCUUCAUUUUGUAUGGUACUGCAGGACUGUACAGAGGCCCAUGCAGGCCCCAAAUGUGCAAGUGACUCUGGGUUUGAUCCCUGGCCUGGGAACUUCCACAUGCCAUGGGCGUGGCCAAAAAAAUUUUUUGUCAAAAUUCUUACUAUCAGGAGUUUCCAUGGUGGCUCAGCGGUAACGAACCCAACUAGGAUCCAUGAGGACACAGGUUUGGUCCCUGGCCUCGCUCCGUGGGUUAAGGAUCCCACCUUGCCAUGAGCUGUGGUGUAGGUCACAGACGCGGCUUGGAUCCCACAUGGCUGUGACUGUGGCAUAGGCCAGCAGCUGUAGUUCUGAUUUGACCACUAGCCUGGGAACUUCCAUAUGCCAUGGGUGCGGCCCU
rnacentral:lncRNA from 1 species